UUGCCAUGAUUCACCUCUGUAGUAGGUGGGUUGUGGUUAGGCGUGGUCGGUGUGCCACCACCGGCCGGCGCGCUC
rfam:Magnetospirillum sp. 64-120 scnpilot_p_inoc_scaffold_7551, whole genome shotgun sequence.